rnacentral:tRNA from 1 species
GUUUCCGUAGUGUAGCGGUUAUCACGUCUGCUUCGCACGCAGAAGGUCCCAAGUUCGAUCCCGGGCGGGAACA